rnacentral:sRNA from 1 species
ACAUAGCCCCGAUGGCAGCGGCAUCCUUUUUUGUUUUGGUGUGAGGCGGCGGAGCGAAGCGUAGCCGACCGAGCGCCAAAACAAAAAGAUAUAGCGAACAGCGGGUGAGAAA